rnacentral:rRNA from 1 species
UACAGAGGUCCCAAGCGUUGUUCGGAUUCACUGGGCGUAAAGGGGUGCGUAGGCGGUCGGAUAAGUCUGACGUGAAAUCUCCGGGCCUAACCCGGAACCUGCGUUGGAAACUAUCUGGCUAGAGGAAUGGGAGGGGAGACUGGGAAUACUUGGGUGUAGCAGUGAAAUGCGUUAGAUAUCAAGUGGAACACCAGUGGCGAAGGCGAGUCUCUGGACAGUAACUGACGCUGAGGAGCGAAAGCGUGGGGAGGCGAACAGG